AAAGCGACAACGACGAUGUCGUGCAAAC
rnacentral:sRNA from 1 species